UGCAUUCUCCUCACAAGUAGUCAGAGUCUAAGUAAUUUUUUUUAAAAUAAAUUUUCUCUCGGUUUUUAAAAAAAUGUUUUAAAGAAACACACGAAUGUCUGACCAUAAACAAACAAAAACAAAAAACCCAGGGAAAGGGUGCAGAGUUGAAAAGAUGCAUUUUUCUGGAAAAUAUAUCUUGACCUCCAAAAGACUAAACUUUUAGCAGACCUUGCCACCAAAUUAAUCAUUUGAGGCUAUGCACCCAUCUGCUGUCCAACUGUGUACACAGCCUGUUUUCAGUCUAGUCUGCCUCAAAGAACACUGUAACCAACUUUACUAUGGCUUGGAGUUUUCCACGAAAUCAGCUUAGGUUAGGUUCUCUUCCAUGCCUCUGGCCCAGAAUAACGUAUGUGUGUAUGUGUGUGUUGUGAUCACUUACUGAAAACACCCAACAGAUUGGGAGCAACUUUAAAACAAAUACCUGCCAUCCAUGCUGCAAGAGCAUUGAUGUAGACGGAUAGCGUCUGUUCUGUUUGCAGUUGUGAUUGCCUGAGUCAGUCUGUUAAGCUGGGCGUGGUGGCACACAUCUUUAGCCCCAACACUAGGGUGGCAGUGGCAGAUGGAUCUCUGUGAGUUCAAGGCCAGCCUGGUCUCCAAAGCAAGUUGAAGGCCAUCCAGGGCUACAUAGUGAAACCCUAUCUAUGUGUUUACAUAAAUAUUUUUGGAAACAAAUCCAGUCAUCCGAGAAAUGACUUCUCACAUCAUGGACGUGUCUCUCUUCAAAGAAGCAGUAGUUAGCAGAGGUCUUUCAAUUCAGCUGGUUCCAUACCAAUACUCUAGCAUGUUCUGAGAUUGUAAUGUAGAUUCUAGUAUACAGGCUCCUGUUUUCUUAAGAAGACAGUUCCUAUUACUACUCCCUCAAUUGAGAUCUGACACUGUGAAAGAGUGUGAAUGACCACCCCCCAAAUCCAAACUGCUCUUCCUCCCAGGGCUUUCCUGGCUCCUUUGUCUCUGCAGAGGCACUCGGUACAGCUGAGGACAGAACGCUGAAAGAGGAAGGUUGUGGCAUCCUGUGUUUUAGAAAUAAUAGCUCACUGCAGUUCUGGUAAUCCUCACCCUUUGCUUGUUACAUUCCUUAGCUACAAGAAUCUGACUCCUUCCGUGUGUGUGUGUGUGUGUGUGUGUGUGUGUGUGUGUGUGUGUGUGUGUGUGUGUGAUCUAUAGGCCAAAUGGAGAGCUUCAUACGUGCCAGGCAAGGCCAUGCCAUUGAGCUAUCUAUACCCAGCCCAUUUUUCAGACCACUUCUCAGUAAGAUGCUCAAGCUGGCCUUGAAUUUGAAAUGCUCCUGCCUCAGCCUUCUGAAUACCUGAGAAGACAUGCAGAUCACAGCAGGUCUUCCCUUCCAUGAAGCUUAUUCCUUUCUGGUGUUUUUAAAACUAUUUCUGACCCUGCUUAGAAGCAAGCUGUGUGAAGUGAUAUCUGGCAGUAGAGAGCUGGCCUCACUGUUUCCUCAUGACCCAGACUAGAGAGGACACAGGGAACAUGCCCUCAUGCUUCUGGCUCUCACACAAGGCCUAGUGACGUAAGCUGUCUGACCUUGAGCAAUCCAUUUCUCAUUUAUACACAUCUCUAAAAUGUGGGGUAGAGAGUGAUGUUCCCGGGGCUUUCAUCUGCUUCCAAAAUCCCGAUCUGUACAUAGUCAGCCUUGGAGAUGACUGAGGCAUUGUCUAUAGAAUUUACUGGCGCUCUCUCCCGACACACGCGACCCUGAACACAUGAAAUACUGUGCUGCACUCACUAGCAGCAAGAAGAGGAGGCUCUCUGGUGUCUGUGGGAGGAGAUAAGCUUCAGGUGCUGUUUAUCUUCCCAAAGGACUUACUAUAUGAUUGCAGGAUUUAUUAAAUUUAUCAAAUGCAAUAAGAGAAAGUCUGCCACCUGAUGUUGAGAUAGCACCCGGCAGACAGGUAGACGGAUUGCAUUUGCUCCCCGGAGUUGUCCUCGGCAGGUUCCUAUCCUGUGGUUUGAUUCAUGGUGAGGUGGCCUGAGCUUGUAGCUGCAGAAACCAAACCAUCCGAUCCAACGGGAAGGCUGAUCCUUGAUGUGUGUGUCUCUAGAGUUCUGGCACCGAGUCACUGAGAGAUGCUUGGCUCUGAUGAUGGUCUCUCUGUCAAGCUGAAAUCCUCAAAGCAGACAGAGGCUUGAAGUGCCCUUGAGCUUUGAAGGAGCCAUGUGGCAGAGAUGCCCCAGUUACGGCUCGGUGGGUCUUCUGCCUUUGUUUCCUUACUCCCAGUUUACGCUUUGCACUUGCAGACAAACCAGACACUUCUACAAGGCACUGUUUGUGGCCUGUUGGAGAUGCCAGAAUGUUACCAUGGCCUUUCGGCCACUGAUGCUCUCAUUCAUUCACUCUGUCUACAGAGUGCACUUGUGGAUACAGUACAUAGUUAGAAGGACAGUAAAGAAGGGGGAAAAGAGAGGGAGCCGGAGAGACCAUCACUUAGAACCUUGUAUUGUUUUGGCAGAGAACCCAUGCUGAGUUCUCAGCACCCAUGCCUGACAGUUCACAAGUGCCCAUAACUCCACCUCCAGGGCAUCUGCUCUGCAGGCACCCAUACAUAAGCGCAUAUGCUAACACACAUAGUCAAAGUACAUUUUCUUUUUUAAAGGGAAGAACAGAAAAGGAAAAAGGGGGGAAAAAAUCUCUCCUAAACUAACAAUUACAAGGAAACAAUGUAUUUCCCAAAUACAUAAUCAUACGUCGCAAAGCCCAAAUAUCUUCUCAUAUCAACCAUAGUUUAAUUUGUCAAUUUUGUGGACACAAAAGCCCACAGCUCUCACUUCAAAAGGAAUAAGAGAUGGUGGAUUUUGGAACUAUUCUUACAUUUAGGUGACCAGGUGUAACUGGUUCUCUGUGGGACUGUGAAAGGCAGCCUGAUCCCUGCUAGAAGCCCCGGAGACCCUGAAGGGGUGGUAGGAGCUUUGCCUGCUCCUGGGCACCAGGCCUCUGUCACUAUCUGUAGCCUCCCACAGAUUUGUGGCCAUCAGUCAUUAAGGGCAGUGCCCCAAGCUCUUCCACACAUAGAUAAGGAAAAGAGAUGUGAUCACAGGUCAUGUAGGCUCUAGACAGAGAUCUCCAUUUUAAUGAGGUUCCUAAAGACCUGGAGGGCUUAGCCAAUAAGCUUUCCUCACCAGACAAUCCUCCCUGUAAAAGGUAUUUAACCUCAGGCCUGCCCUGAGAAGUGGGGUAUGGUUUUACACAUCCACCUUCUGCCAUGACAAUAAAUGCCUUAAAACCUUAUAUUGCCUCUUUUCAUCGGGAUCUGCCAUGGGGAGCCAUGGAGAAGGCCUUUGCCUAUAGAGCUGCCAUCUAGUCUCCUGUAGAAGGCCACCUCGCUGAGCUCCCAGUCACGACUGACUGCCACCACCACGACCCCACCAAGCCCAAGCCUGCUGUCAAGCCAAGAACUCUCCCCAGGGAACAGCCCGAGCUCCCCUUUCCACCCUGACCCUGUCCCUAGGCUAGAUCCAGCCCAAGGACCCAGAUUCAGUUCUCAGCUCUUCUGUGACUUCCAGGGUGCCUGGGUGUCCAAGAGCCUGGGAACUCCAAGGCCCCAGCCUCUUCGCAGGCCCAGAGACCCCCUGAGCCAGCUGCAGCUGUCCCUCACCUCAGACUGUGCUUUCCUACUCCCACAGUAGUGUCCCCGGGCUUCUCUACCACCCAACACCCGCCCGGCCACAGAGUGGGGUAAAUGCUGUCAACUCCCACCGCCACCCCAAGCAGACCUGCCCUGGGGCAGAGCAGUUUGGGAUCCCUCCACCCUACAGUUCUCAGCCUUCCUUUAGUUCCUCAUGUUGUGGUGACCCUCAACCACAAAAUAAUUUUGUUGCUAUUCAUAACUGUAAUUUUGAUACUGUUAAAAACAAUAAUCUAAAUAUCUGAUAUGCAGGAUACCUGAUAUGAGUCCCCCCCACAAAGGAACUCAUAACCCAUAGGUUGAGACCCACUGGCCUAGGAGCAAGGAUUUGGGUUACCACAAAUACUGUAAAAUACGGUGACAGUUUCACAUAGUGUUUUUGGUAACUCUGUAGUAACAAAUGAAGUCAUAUAUCAAGAUACUUCAAAAUACUUUUUAUUAAGAAAUACUGGGGGGCUGGAGAGAUGGCUCAGUGGUUAAGAGUGCCGACUGUUCUUCCAAAGGUCCUGAGUUCAAAUCCCAGCAACCACAUGGUGGCUCGCAACCAUCCGUAACAAAAAAUCUGAUGCCCUCUUCUGGAGUGUCUGAAAACAGCUACAGUGUGCUUACAUAUAAUAAAUAAAU
rnacentral:lncRNA from 1 species